rnacentral:rRNA from 1 species
GAUUACCUACGGGGGGCAGCAGUGGGGGAUAUUGCACAAUGGGGGAAACCCUGAUGCAGCGAUGCCGCGUGGGUGAAGAAGCGCCUCGGCGCGUAAAGCCCUGUCAGCAGGGAAGAAAAUGACGGUACCUGAAGAAGAAGCCCCGGCUAACUACGUGCCAGCAGCCGCGGUAAUACGUAGGGGGCAAGCGUUAUCCGGAUUUACUGGGUGUAAAGGGGGCGCAGACGGCGAUGCAAGCCAGGAGUGAAAGCCCGGGGCCCAACCCCGGGACUGCUCUUGGAACUGCGUGGCUAGAGGGCAGGCGG